CCCUGCCCCGUGCUACAGCGCGCGGCCGGGCGCGGUGCGGGGUGUGCGCGAGCAGGACGGGCUGAGUCAGCGCUACCGGCAGCACCUCUGCCGAUGCGGCGGGGCCGCCCGGGCCGGAGCGCUCGGCUCAGCCGCCGGGCAGGGUGCACGGGCUCCGCCCGGGCGGCUGUUCGCAGCGACCCCCCGCCGUGUAGGCUGCCCGGGCCUCGGGGUCCUCAUGGCCUGAGCAGCGGCUGCGUUCCUCCCGUGUAGGGUUUUACUGGUGGCUUGCUUGUUUCUCGGUCUCUGCAUGGGUUUCUUUCCUCUUUCCCCGCUCGCGGUGCGGAAGAUGAAAUGCUUCUCCCGGUACCUGCCGUACCUCUUCCGGCCGCCCGGCGCCGUCCUCUCCUCCAGCUGCCACGCGGAAGGAAUGGAGAGAACCGGGUCUGUGUUGGCUGAGGUUCACUUCAGGGCACUUCUCCAGCAGGAAGGGCUCCGUGCUGGUGCACAGCCCCCCGCGGUGGCUGUGUGUUUGCUGUCAGUCAGCUUUGUGAAUCAUCUGCAGCCGUGCAAACAGCUCCUUGAAAUCAACAUUUCUCAUCGCUGCUCCUCCCCUACAUGGAACCACAGCAGUAUUCCUUGUGUGCCCUACCCAGAGCUAGCUAAUGAAGGAAACCCUUUCCUGACACCCAGCUUUCUACAGACAUGUUCAUCUGGUCUGCAUCUGCAUGGAUGGAUCUGCCAGCCGCGCCCAUAAGCCACGGGAAGAUCAGCUGGAUGCAGCGGGGAUGUGUGCUAUGGCUGCUUUGGAGAGGACUGGCGCUACUCUCUGCCCACAGUGUGUCUCUAGUGGAAGAGAAACUCCAUGGGGAGCACCUACCAUGACUCCUGAUGCCGUAACCUGGAAUGUCCAAAGGCUGAAGGUGUGGAGUGGGAGGGUCAGGUUGGACUCUGCUAGCUGGGCAGAGGAUGACGCUUGAGACUAAAUUAUUACAUCUCCUCUGGCUGCUGUUUUAGUCCAAGCAAACAGUAUGAAGGUUUUGUUUUAAUUUUAUUUUCUCCGAAGUUCUAAACAGAUAAAAUUAACCCUGUCAAUAACUCCUCCGAACUCUGGAAUUUCUUUUCGAGGAUACUCAGCUAGGUAACCGUCAGGGAAAAAGCCUUUGAAUUAAGAAAAGAAUAUUCCUUCCUGCAGAUGAGGAAGCAAGCACGAAGGUGGGAAUCGAGUUCUCUGAGCUCAUACGAUUGGCAGACUUUGAGUCAUGCAUAUAUUUUUCAUCCAGAAUUCGAACAGAAAUGUGUUUUUGUGCCAUUUUCUGGGCGGGGUUUGAAACGUCGCCUGUUCUGCAGAUUUCAUGGAUGAUUAGAUGAGUGAUCAUUGUUUCCUCCCCUUAAAACCUGCUGUUGUUCUUCGGAGAUCUUUAACUGCAUUGUUAAUUUGAUAGGACAACAACUUGAAAUCAUUUCCAGUAACUUCCAAAUUUUUCUGGCUGUUUGAGCAGCCGCCCUGGGAUCUGCAUGAGCGCAGAGCAUCUGCAGUGCUGGGCAGAGGACACAGGAUUUAAGGCAG
rnacentral:lncRNA from 1 species